rnacentral:rRNA from 1 species
AUGACGUCAAGUCCUCAUGGCCCUUAUGGGUAGGGCUUCACACGUCAUACAAUGGUCGGUACAGAGGGUUGCCAACCCGCGAGGGGGGAGCUAAAUCCCACAAAGCCGAUCGUAGUCCGGAUCGCAGUCUGCAACUCGACUGCGUGAAGUCGGAAUCGCUAGUAAUCGUGGAUCAGCAUGUCACGGUGAAUACGUUCCCGGGUCUU